UUGAGUUUUCGUUUCCGUUUCGUGGGGUUCCAAUUGAUCGAUUUGGGUGUCCGAUUUUUUCACUGUUUCAGCUUCUUUAACGAUUUGGGGAUCCGAUUUUUUCACAGUUUCAGAUUCUUUGACGAUUUGGGUGUCUGAAUUUUUCGAUUUGGGGAUAUGGGUUUCGGUUGAAAUUGAAAACCCAUUUGGAUUUUGAGUGAAGAAGAUGAGAUCACCUGAGGUAAUUCCAAUCGAUUGAAGCAUAUCUUCUUCAGAAAAUUGAAGUUCAUCCUUUCGAUUGAGAGAAAGAUGAAUCGAAUUUGGUAUUGAUGAUGAUGGAAAUGCUUGAGAAAUUCGAUUUUUGA
rnacentral:misc_RNA from 1 species